UCUCUUCCUCCUCCUGGAGCAGAGAAACCCAAGGGGGAGAAGAGACGCGGAUCCAUGGUUACGAGGUUCCAUUUUCAUCCCCUCGCCGCCCCACCCCAAUCCCUCCCACCUUCUCCAUCCCUUCCCCUCUUCCGCUCCUCGCCCUCCUUCACUUAUAGACUUCCCCUUCCUUAUAGGAUUAAAACCAAACGAUAAAAAAAUAAAAAUAAAAAUAAAUCGAAGCGCCCGUGCGAAUCCCUCAGCUCAAGAACGCCAUCUGCAAUUUCCGCAAAAACCCUCGUUUCUUCCAUUCUUUUUGUCCUCCAUCAAUCUCCCAACAAACCCUAGAGAGUUCACCUGUACAAACAAAUGAAAACCCUCAAAAGUUUUCGUAGAAAUCCGUCGAAUUGUUGAAUUAGAGAUCGUUGGAGCUCGCCAAAUCUUCUUUCCGCCUCUUGGUCCCGAAUUAGGGUUUUGCCGCCAUGAGCCGGAGGGUGAGGAGGCGCGGCGUGCAGUCCAAGGACAAGGAGAAGGUCGUCAUCUCCCCGGUCUUCCCUGAGGCCGCCGAGGAUUGCGAGAUCCUCCGCCCUGGCGGCGGCGGCGGCGGAGGCGACGGUGCUGGGGUGGCCGCCGUGGACUGGACUUGCCUCGCCGACGACACCGUGGUCCAGCUCUUCUCCUGCCUCAACUACCGGGACCGCGCCAGCCUCGCUUCCACGUGCCGCACCUGGCGCCUCCUCGGCUCCUCCCCCUGCCUUUGGACCGCUCUCGACCUCCGUGCCCACCGCUGCGGCCCUGACACCGCCGCCGCCCUCGCCGGCCGGUGCUCCCACCUCCGUCGCCUUCGCUUCCGGGGCGCUGAUGCUGCCGCCGCCGUCAUGAACCUCCAGGCCCGCGGCCUGCAGGAGAUCGCAGGGGACUACUGCCGCGACAUCACCGACGCCACCCUGUCGGUGAUUGCUGCCCGCCACGAAGCCCUUGAGAGCCUCCAGAUCGGCCCCGACCCGUGCGAGAGAAUCACCAGUGAUGCUAUCCGUCAUGUCGCCAUGUGCUGCACGAGGUUAAGGAGGCUGCGCCUCUCCGGCAUCCGGGAGGUUGACGGAGAGGCAGUGGGAGCCUUCGCGCGGCAUUGCCCGCAGUUGGAUGAGAUAGCCUUCUUGGAUUGUGGGAGCAUCGAUGAGAGUGCUCUUGGGAAGGUGGUGUCCCUAAGAUUCUUAUCCGUUGCAGGGUCACGGAACUUGAAGUGGGCUACGGCCUCCCUUGCCUGGAGCAAGCUCCCAAACUUGAUCGGUCUGGAUGUUUCAAGGACGGACGUCUCCCCGAGUGCCGUAUCGAGGCUUAUCUCCCUGUCCAAAAGCUUGAAGGUGUUGUGCGCUCUCAACUGUGUCGCACUCGAGGAGGAAGUGAAUCACAACCCCGCAGCAUUUACCAAUACCAAGGGCAAAGUGCUGCUUGGCCUUUUCAGUGAUAUAUUCAAAGGGAUUGCUUCUUUGUUCAAGGGCACUGUGGUUAAGGAGCGGGGUAUCUUCGGGGAAUGGAGGAGUUGGGAAAACAAGGACAAGAACCUGAAUGAUAUCAUGAUCUGGAUUGAGUGGAUCCUGUCGCAAUCACUGCUUCGUAUAGCAGAGACUAACCCACAUGGCAUUGAUGAGUUUUGGUUAAGGCAAGGUGCUGCUUUGUUGCUGAGCCUGGUGAAGAGUUCACAGGCGGACGUGCAAGAGAGAGCGGCGACUGGGCUUGCUACAUUUGUGGUCAUUGAUGAUGAUAAUGCAGCAGUUGACCCAGCGAGGGCAGAGGCGGUGAUGCGGAAUGGUGGGAUACCUUUGCUUUUGGAGCUUGCAAAGUCUUGCCGGGAGGGCAUACAGUCUGAAGCUGCAAAGGCCAUUGCAAACUUGUCGGUAAAUACCAAAGUUGCGAAAGCAGUUGCUGAUGAAGGGGGUAUCAGUAUUCUUGCAGAUCUGGCGAGAUCCAUGAACAGGUUGGUUGCUGAAGAGGCUGCUGGAGGGCUCUGGAACCUUUCCGUGGGAGAAGAGCACAAGGCGGCCAUUGCCGAGGCUGGUGGGGUAAAAGCUUUGGUGGAUCUUAUUUUCAAAUGGUACUCUGGAAUAGAUGGAGUUCUGGAACGUGCUGCUGGUGCCCUUGCAAAUUUGGCUGCCGAUGACAAAUGCAGUCUGGAGGUUGCAGUGGCUGGUGGUGUCCAAGCUUUGGUAAUGCUUGCUCGGUGGUGCAAGGUUGAGGGAGUACAAGAACAGGCUGCUCGAGCUUUAGCUAAUCUGGCUGCUCAUGGAGAUAGCAACAGUAAUAAUGCUGCCGUUGGUCAAGAGGCAGGUGCACUUGAGGCAUUGGUGCAGCUAACUUGUUCUCAAAAUGAAGGUGUAAGACAAGAAGCUGCUGGUGCUUUGUGGAACUUAUCUUUUGAUGAUAGAAACCGAGAAGCAAUUGCUGCAGCUGGUGGGGUUGAAGCCUUGGUAGGUCUUGCACAAGGAUGUUCAAAUGCUUCUCAAGGACUCCAAGAGAGGGCUGCAGGUGCUUUGUGGGGAUUGUCAGUAUCAGAGGCUAAUAGCAUUGCCAUCGGACGAGAAGGUGGUGUUGCACCUCUAAUUACAUUGGCACGGUCAGAUGCUGAAGAUGUUCAUGAGACUGCUGCUGGUGCACUUUGGAAUCUUGCUUUUAAUUCUGGCAAUGCUCUUCGCAUAGUUGAAGAGGGGGGAGUUCCGGCCCUUGUACACCUCUGUGCAUCAUCAGGAUCAAAAAUGGCUCGUUUUAUGGCUGCAUUGGCGCUUGCUUACAUGUUUGAUGGAAGAAUGGAUGAGGUUGCAUUGGUUGGGUCUUCAUUAGAAGGUGCUUCAAAGAGUGUUAACUUUGAUGGUGCUAGAAGGAUGGCAUUGAAGCAUAUUGAAGCUUUUGUGCUGACUUUUUCAGAGCCACAACUCUUCUCCAUGGCUGCAGCAUCUUCGGCUCCUGCAGCCUUGGCACAAAUAGCUGAAGCAGCGCGCAUACAAGAAGCAGGACAUCUGAGAUGCAGUAGAGCCGAGAUUGGGAGAUUUGUUGCCAUGCUUCGAAACCCAUCAUCCAUUCUUCGAGCCUGUGCAGCUUUUGCUCUUCUUCAGUUCACCAUUCCAGGAGGCAGGCAUGCGGUGCACCAUGCAGGCCUCUUGCAGAAAGCUGGGGCAGCACGGGUCCUACGUGCUGCUGCUGCAGCUGCAACAGCUCCUAUUGAAGCGAAAAUUUUUGCGAGGAUAGUGCUCAGGAAUCUUGAACACCACCAGCUGGAAGCUUCAAUAUAAAGCUUGAAUAAGGAAAUUGUUCUCCAGCAUUCAAGUCGAACACUUUUGCCCAUGCAUCAGCCUGAAACGAUGUGCACAUUUGAAUUCUGCUCUAUGAAAAUGCAGAUUCCGUGGUUACUGAAGCUUCUGUUCCUUGACGGAGCUUUGCUUUCCGGUUGAUAUCCUGAGGCCUAGGCCCUUGACAAACAGAAUUGAGGUGGGGCUUGCUUGCGCUUGUUAGUCAGGGAGCAUGGAAAUCUCUGGUCUAUAUGCCUUGUUUCCAAGACUGAUCAUCUUCCAAGAUUGGUUAGCAGAAAAGUGGAAGCUGUAUUCUUUCUGUUCGUUUUCCUUGGCCUAUGCCAUUGCUGAAGUUCUGGUCUACUUGUGCUGAUGCUGGUUGUAGUUGAUUACCGGUUUACUUGGUUUGGUGAGGGGGAAGCUGUAGGUUAUAGGUUUAGUGUUACUCCCUCUUGAUGAUGUCGUAUGAACAUGUGGUCCAAGAGCGGUAUUUCUUUACGAUUGCUGGGGUUACAGGAAUACUCGAUCAGUUAUUAUUGUGAAAAAUGAAGAUAGGAGCAAUAUUUAACCCACCCACAUUUUUUUA